CCAAUCGAACCCGGAGAUAGCUGGUUCUCCUCGAAAUAGCUUUAGGGCUAGCCUCGCAUUAGUUUACCGGAGGUAGAGCACUGAAUGGUCUAGGGGGCCUCACCGCCUACCGAAACCUAUCAAACUGCGAAUGCCGGAUAAAUGAUGUGCGGGAGUCAGGCCGCGAGAGAUAAGUUCCGCGGUCAAAAGGGGAACACCCCAGAUCGUCUGCUAAGGUCCCCAAGUACGCGUUAAGUGGGAAAGGAUGUUGGAUUGCACAGACAACCAGGAUGUUGGCUUAGAAGCAGCCACACAUUCAAAGAGUGCGUAAUAGCUCACUGGUCGAGUGAUCCAGCGCCGAAAAUGUAACGGGGCUAAAACGCGACACCGAAGCAGCGGGAUGCGUAAGCAUCGGUAGAGGAGCAUUGUGUGAGGGUCGAAGCCAGAGCGGGAGCACUGGUGGACUUCACAGAAGAGAGAAUGCCGGUAUGAGUAGCGAGACCCAUGCGAGAAACAUGGGCGUCGAAGGCCCAAGGUUUCCUGGGGAAGGUUCAUCCACCCAGGGUAAGUCGGGACCUAAGCCGAGGACUGAGGUCGUAGGCGAUGGACAGCAGGUAGAGAUUCCUGCACCACUUACACUUGUUUGACGAAGCAGUGACACAGAAGGAUAGGACGAGCGCGGUGAUGGUCAACCGCGUAGGCGGCACGAGGCCGGGGAGCAGUGAAGUACACUUCCCGCGAAGGCUGAGUGUUGACAGGACCGAAAAGAAGUAGGGAAGCGUCCGAGUUCACGCUGGCGAGAAAAGCUGCUAAGGAGAGUGUGAGUGCCCGUACCGGAAACCGACGCAGGUGGGCGAGGAGAGAAUCCUGAGACGGACGGGAGAACUCUUGUUAAGGAACUCGGCAAAAUGACCCCGUAACUUCGGGAGAAGGGGUGCCUCGAAAGAGGCCGCAGAGAAUAGUCACAAGCGACUGUUUAGCAAAAACACAGGUAUCUGCGAAAGCGAGAGCUGACGUAUAGGUGCUGACGCCUGCCCGGUGCUGGAAGGUUAAGGGGAAGUGUUAGGGGAAACCCGAAGCAGAGAACCGAAGCCCCAGUAAACGGCGGCCGUAACUAUAACGGUCCUAAGGUAGCGAAAUUCCUUGUCGGGUAAGUUCCGACCCGCACGAAUGGCGUAACGACUUGUGAGCUGUCUCAACAGGAGGCCCGGUGAAAUUGAAGUAUGUGUGAAGAUGCACAUUACCCGCGACUGGACGGAAAGACCCCGUAGAGCUUUACUGUAACCUGACAUUGGAUCUUGAUAACGGAUGCACAGGAUAGGUGGGACGCUGGGAGACGAGGACUUUGGUUUUCGUGGAGCGGCCGUUGGGAUACCACUCUUCUGUUAUUGAGAUUCUAACCUCAAGCCGUGAGCCGGAUGAGAGACAGUGUCAGGCGGACAGUUUGACUGGGGCGGUCGCCUCCGAAAGAGUAACGGAGGCGCCCAAAGGUACCCUCAGAAUGGAUGGAAACCAUUCGAAGAGAGCAAAGUCAGAAGGGUGCUUGACUGCGAGACCAACAAGUCGAGCAGGUACGAAAGUAGGGCUUAGUGAUCCGGCGGUAAGAGAGUGGAAUUGCCGUCGCUCAACGGAUAAAAGCUACCUCGGGGAUAACAGGCUGAUCUCCCCCAAGAGUUCACAUCGACGGGGAGGUUUGGCACCUCGAUGUCGGCUCAUCGCAUCCUGGAGCUGAAGUCGGUUCCAAGGGUUGGGCUGUUCGCCCAUUAAAGCGGUACGCGAGCUGGGUUCAGAACGU
rnacentral:rRNA from 1 species